AUUGAACGCUGGCGGCAGGCCUAACACAUGCAAGUCGAGCGGAUGAAGGGAGCUUGCUCCUGGAUUCAGCGGCGGACGGGUGAGUAAUGCCUAGGAAUCUGCCUGGUAGUGGGGGAUAACGUCCGGAAACGGGCGCUAAUACCGCAUACGUCCUGAGGGAGAAAGUGGGGGAUCUUCGGACCUCACGCUAUCAGAUGAGCCUAGGUCGGAUUAGCUAGUUGGUGGGGUAAAGGCCUACCAAGGCGACGAUCCGUAACUGGUCUGAGAGGAUGAUCAGUCACACUGGAACUGGGACACGUCCCAACCUCCUACGGGGGGCAGCGGGGGGGAAUAUUGGACAAUGGGCCAAAGCAUGAUCCAGCCAUGCCGGGGGUGUGAAGAAGGUCUUCGGAUUUUAAAGCCCUUUAAGUUGGGAGGAAGGGCAGUAAGUUAAUACCUGGCUGUUUUGGCGUUACCAACAAAAUAAGCACCGGCUAACUUCGU
rnacentral:rRNA from 1 species